GAUGAAGAACGUAGCGAAAUGCGAUAAGUAGUGUGAAUUGCAGAAUUCAGUGAAUCAUGGAAUCUUUGAACGCACAUUGCGCCCCUUGGUAUCCCGAGGGGCAUGCCUGUUCGAGCGUCAUUUCACCACUCAAGCCUGGCUUGGUGUUGGGCGACGUCCUCUUUGGGGACGCGCCUCGAAACGCUCGGCGGCGUGGCACCGGCUUUAAGCGUAGCAGAAUCUUUCGCUUUGGAAGUCGGGGCCCCGUCUGCCGGAAGACCUGCUCGCAAGGUUGACCUCGGAUCAGGCAGGGAUACCCGCUGAACUUAAGCAUAUCAAUAAGCGGAGGA
rnacentral:misc_RNA from 1 species